GACGAACCGUCCUAACGUUGUUCGGAAUCACUGGGCUUAAAGGGCGCGUAGGCGGACCACCAAGUCCGGGGUGAAAUCUUUCGGCUUAACCGGAAAAGUGCCUUGGAUACUGGUGGUCUCGAGUGAGGUAGGGGCAUGUGGAACUUCUGGUGGAGCGGUGAAAUGCGUUGAUAUCAGAAGGAACUCCGGUGGCGAAAGCGACAUGCUGGACCUCUUCUGACGCUGAGGCGCGAAAGCUAGGGGAGCGAACGGG
rnacentral:rRNA from 1 species